GAUGAACGCUGGCGGCGUGCCUAAUACAUGCAAGUCGAGCGAACAGACGAGGAGCUUGCUCCUCUGACGUUAGCGGCGGACGGGGGAGUAACACGUGGAUAACCUACCUAUAAGACUGGGAUAACUUCGGGAAACCGGAGCUAAUACCGGAUAACAUGUUGAACCGCAUGGUUCAACAGUGAAAGACGGUCUUGCUGUCACUUAUAGAUGGAUCCGCGCCGCAUUAGCUAGUUGGUAAGGUAACGGCUUACCAAGGCAACGAUGCGUAGCCGACCUGAGAGGGUGAUCGGCCACACUGGAACUGAGACACGGUCCAGACUCCUACGGGAGGCAGCAGUAGGGAAUCUUCCGCAAUGGGCGAAAUCCUGACGGAGCAACGCCGCGUGAGUGAAGAAGGUCUUCGGAUCGUAAAACUCUGUUAUUAGGGAAGAACAAAUGUGUAAGUAACUAUGCACGUCUUGACGGUACCUAAUCAGAAAGCCACGGCUAACUACGUG
rnacentral:rRNA from 1 species